rnacentral:rRNA from 1 species
UACGUGAGGGGCGAGCGUUGUCCGGAGUUACGUGGGCGUGAAAGGGCAUGCAGGCGGUCGGACGCGUUUUGUGUGACAGCGGGUGGCUUAACUGACCCGAGCCAUGCGAAAGACGGUUGGACUUGAGGGCUCGAGAGGAACACGGAAUUCCGGGUGGAGUGGUGAAAUGCGUAGAGAUCCGGAGGAACACCGAAGGCGAAGGCAGUGUCCUGGCGAGUGACUGACGCUGAGGUGCGAAAGCCAGGGGAGCGAACGGG